GUCCUUGUGGACCAUGGCAGGCCGUCCCAGACUUGUAGCAAGGUCUUGAUUGCUUACAUACUGGGGAGACGGCGGUUCGACUCCACCCAAGGAUA